rnacentral:rRNA from 1 species
GGAAGUAAAAGUCGUAACAAGGUUUCCGUAGGAACAAGUCCUUCCGCUGGUAACACUUGCCGAAGCCUUAGCAGCCUGAAAGGGUGCCCCUCGACGACUUGAAAUAAAAUUAGAGGGUCUCAAAUGCUAGUCCACUGUAUAUAGGGUGGGCAACACUGUCAAAUUGCGGGGAACCCCUAAAGACCUUGACACCAAGCGUCUGCUGGAAACAGCGGCGUGGCCGAGCUAAUAGCCCUGGGUAUGGUAAUAGUUCAAGGUAUGAGCCCGAGUGAUCGGGUGAAAUGGGCGAUCUGCAGCCAAGUCCUAAGGUCUCUCUGUAGACUACGGAUGCUGUUCACAGGCCAAAUGGCAGUGGGUGGGAGUAUCAUCUCCUGCUUAAGAUAUGGUCGGUCCCCUUGUGAAAGCUUGGGGGUAAGUUUACCGGAUAAAUUGCUUGUUUUGUGGUUCUCAGAAAUUCUGAGUACUUUUUACGUUCCGUAGGUGAACCUGCGGAAGGAU